GUGACUCCUGACUCCCCUGCUUCCCUUGCCCUGUGACUUGGCUCUGAGGAGUUGGGAGGUGACAGCAUGUGUUCCUUUCGAAGUCAUUCUGAACAGAACUCCAUAUGAUAUGCCUUGGUUUGGAUGGUUAAUGAGUCCCCUGGAGGCCAGUUUUUCAGCAGUCUUUCUCCUAGACAAAUACACGGGGAUGUGUGCUGACGGCUUACAGAAUCACAGAAGGUACCACCAAAGACCAUCUAGUCCAAUCCCCCAAACAGGGUCAUCUAGAACAGGUCGCUUAGAACAUGACCCCUUAGCUCUCAGAUGACUCAUCAUGCUGCCCUGAACACAGCUCCCAGUCCCACAUCUACUACCGAAGCACAUCAUCUGUUCUGUAGUUGAAGAUCUGCAGGUGGAUCACGAGCCUUCCUUGUGGUACCAGAAGUCAGCGGCUUCCAGCCUUUUACCAUCAUGGGAGUCUCCUUUUCCAGCCCAAUGACUACAGACUCUGAAUGCUCCAUCCUUCAGUGCAGUUCAGCAUUCGGGCUGUUGUAUCUGCAGGCUCUUGAAGAAGGUCCUAUCACUCUUUUUCUUCCUCUCUGAUGCUGCACAGACAGCUCACCUUCUGCCACAACUCCUCAACAAGCAUACACCUCCUGGAGAUAAGAAGAUCAUCUUCCUUGCUCCAGCCUCAGUGAGGCUUGGCUUCUGAGAGCAUUAUGUUUGCAGACUCCUGUGCAAAAAUGCUGGUGACUGAUAAAUCUGAGCUGAAGUUUGAUGGUGAAAAAAGCAGUCCCACCAGAACUGUCUCAAGGGGCUUCUUGGCUACAUAUGGACUCAGUCUUGGCUGGGGUGUGCUGAAGUAACUCAACGGCUCAUUUAGCCUGUUUCAGAGAUACGGCAACUGAAGGAGCAAUUAAAUUCUUUACUGCCCAGUGACUGAAUGAAAACUACUACAUACAGGCUAGGCUGGGUGAAUGUACGGGAGCUGAGGACUGAGCGAGGAGGGAGAGAGGCAGAAAAAACUAUCAGAAAAUGGAACUUGGCUGGGAAGAGAAGUGGAGUACAGGGAAGGAAGAAUCCUGGAAAUAAUGAGAGGAGAAUGCCAACAGUACUCUGAGUGGAGAAGCAGGCUUGGAAUUAGCAAACAAACUGCUUUUUCUCUGAACUGCACUUCUAAGAAAUAAGAUGUUGAGAUACACUCUUUGUAAAUAGAUUAACACCCAAGAAAAUCUGGCUUAGGCGAUUGCUUGCUGUUGCUAUUACAACAGCCUGAAAAACUAUGAAGACCUCUCUACUAAGAAAGUCAAUAAUAUCGUAUUGGGAAAAGCUUCCAGUCAGCCAGGGCUUAAUGUAACAUGGCAUGUGUAAGAUUUCAGAGCUUGAUGCCAUCUGCUCACAGAGAGCAUCAGAUCACUGGAAAGAUGUCAACAAAUAGGCUUGAGAAGCUUGUGAAAAUGAAGAGGGAAAUAGCAAGCUCCAGGGUGUAGGAAAAUGAUGAUUUUCUUUGUGGCUGUUGCAUUCAUGAGAUUGGUUAGUCUGUGUUUUUUAAUCCGCUUGCUACCGUCCUAGGGGAAAUGCCUGCAAAAGGAGAGAUAUGAGUCCUUGAGUUGAACUGAGAGAAAUAUGGCAAUAAGACUAGCAAAUGAAUCAGAAAAAAAAAAAAGAAAAAGAAAACAAAAAACCCACCACCACCACCAAAAAAAACAGCAACCUUUCAUACGUUAUUUGGAGACAUUACUUGGGAACCCCCAGAGAAUUAGUGUUGGUGGGUUACUGGGAAAAAAAGAGAAGUAGCUAGCAGACAUUAUAGCUAGCAGCUAUAAGGUCUUUUUAAUGCAACUCUCAGUACAAUCUAUGAGGUACCCAGAUUUUAUUUUAUUUUUUUAAAUGUGAAAUUUAAACCUCAGAUGGUAAAGCUAAUAGGAAUAAUCUUUGCUCAAGAGUCAAGAUAAUUGUACUGUGAAAAAUGCUUUUGGUAUAACAUUAAUUUUGACCUUUCCAUGAAGUGUGACAUAAACACGUUUAAAAUGGAUAUUCAUGCCAACACCAUUUCCAUUACCAACUAAAAAGAUUUGGGUGUUAUGCUACAGUUAAGAAGUUUGAAAUAAACAAUCUCUCUUGUGGUGCUGUUUCAAUGCUGUAAUGGAGGUGCUUACCACAGACUGAACAGGUUUAUCUUUUCUUCCUUCUGUGUAGAAAGUAAAACUUCACUGUUUUUCAACAACUGAUGCUCGAAUACAUACAAAAUACUUCAUGUGUAUGCAGGCUGUGUGUCACAAUGUUUAGCUACUUUAAAUUGUUGCUCACUAAAAAUGAUUUUUUUUUUUUUCCCUGAACCUCUGUCCUACUUUUACCUGUGAGAGGUGAAGAAUACAAUAUUAAUGAUAAUAAAGAUUAUUAACAUAAAUCAGCUUCAGGAUGCUGGCUUAUUUUUCCCACCAACUACUUGAAGGGUAGUUCCAGGACUGAUGGAACUAAAUUGUUCAGGCAGUGCCAGACAACAUAAAAAUGCGCGAUGGCCAAAGGCAACAUAACAGUGGCCACAGACUGAGGACUGUGAGAUUCAGAGAAAAAUGAUGUCAGGA